AAAUUGCAGCUGCACAGAGAGAAGUUCAAUUUGUGAAACAAGAAGAUGUGAAAUUCGAAAAAGAGACAAUUCCACAUUAAGCUGGAGCCGCAGUUGAGGACAUGGAAGACAGUCAGUCUGGAUAAAUAGAAAAGGAGACUACAACCUGCAGUCUAGACAGGAAAGUGGAAGCCAUGAAGGCUCCACUCUCUUCAGUUAGCAUUUUCAUUAUGAACUGAUCUGCUAAUGAGAAGGUGGUACCCUGAGUGUGAAAAGAUCCUUAUUCUACAGCCUGGAAAGAG